rnacentral:lncRNA from 1 species
UCGACGAGUGGCAGCGAUUUCGUCGAACGUUUAUUCGGCGUGGUUUGGCCCAUGCUUACGUGAUGUUCAAGCAAGGGCGAUCUCUACUUCCUGCCCCACCUCUUCCUUCUCCCUUAACUGCGCUUGAUUCCUCACCUCUUCAGUCACCUUCCGUAGAACUCAAGACCCCGAAUUCUAGUCAACAGGACGCUAGUAAGAAUGGGGCGUUGAGUACUGAACAACUUUUCAUUAUAGC